GGGCCCGCACAAGCGGUGGAGCAUGUGGUUUAAUUCGAUGAUACGCGAGGAACCUUACCAGGGCUUAAAUGUAGUGGGACAGGUCUAGAGAUAGACCCUUCUUCGGACUCAUUACAAGGUGCUGCAUGGUUGUCGUCAGCUCGUGCCGUGAGGUGUCAGGUUAAGUCCUAUAACGAGCGCAACCCCUAUCGUUAGUUGCCAGCGAGUAAUGUCGGGAACUCUAACAAGACUGCCGGUGCAAACCGUGAGGAAGGUGGGGAUGACGUCAAAUCAUCACGGCCCUUACGUCCUGGCUACACACGUGCUACAAUGCUACGGACAAAGGGCAGCAAGUUCGCGAGGACAAGCA
rnacentral:rRNA from 1 species